UACGGAGGGGGCUAGCGUUGUUCGGAAUUACUGGGCGUAAAGCGCACGUAGGCGGCUUUGUAAGUUAGGAGGUAGCGAAAGCCCGGGGCUCAACUCCGGAAUUGCCUUUAAGACUGCAUUCGCUAGAAAUUGUGGAGAGGUAAGUGGAAUUCCGAAGUGUAGAGGUGAAAGUUCGUAGAUAUUCGGAAAGAACACCAGUGGGCGAAGGC
rnacentral:rRNA from 1 species